ACUCCUACGGGAGGCAGCAGUGGGGAAUAUUGCACAAUGGGGGAAACCCUGAUGCAGCCAUGCCGCGUGUGUGAAGAAGGCCUUCGGGUUGUAAAGCACUUUCAGUAGGGAGGAAGGUAGUGUUAACGUUAACACCUGCAUUAUUUGACGUUACCUACAGAAGAAGCACCGGCUAACUCCGUGCCAGCAGCCGCGGUAAGUACGGAGGGUGCGAGCGUUAAUCGGAAUUACUGGGCGUAAAGCGCAUGCGAGGCGGCCUGUUAAGUCAGAUGUGAAAGCCCGGGGCUUAACCGUCGGAAUUGCAUUUGAAACUGGCAGGCUAGAGUCUUGUAGAGGGGUUAGAAGUUUCAGGUGUAGCGGUGAAAUGCG
rnacentral:rRNA from 1 species